rnacentral:misc_RNA from 1 species
UUGCCGAACGCCUGCAAGCCGAACAGCGAGGCGGCGUGGUCGGCGUCGUUAAAUACGAACGAUGUGGUCUGAUAGAUCGGCGUCGCGCGUGCGCCCGUGGUGGGGUCCGGCUGCGCGCCUGCGUGAAUGGAGAGCGUGGAGAAGCCCGGCAAUCUUUCUGUCAUAGGGUGUCCUUCUAAGCGCCGCGAACGGGCAUGGAGAAGAUUAUGCUGCGGGCGGAUGCGUCCGCCGUCAAGCCAUCAGCAUUGAUCAGAGGUAACUGACAAUGAACCUGACGCA